rnacentral:misc_RNA from 1 species
CGCAGAAUUAAAUUUAUUAAAAUAAGAUGAAUUUUCAUUUCAUUUCUAUAAGAUUAAAAAAUGUCAUUUUCAUUCUCACUAAGCACACUGAGCUAUAUUUAUGAUGAUAAAAAAAUACAUAUAUAUGCAUCAUAAGAAUGAACGUAAAGAAACAAUAUACCAGCACUACCUAGACCAAAUCUUUUUCUUAGAAUCCCUCUCUUUAAUUCCUUGUCCCUGAUCUCUGUUAAUUCUCUUUUGAGUCAAUGGCCCUGGAGCAGCUGUGACUGGCUUUGCUGUUCUCAUAACCCUUAUAAUUUUGGGAGGGUCAGAUUUCCUUGAAAUGAUAUUGUUCUCUAUUUCUCCACUUCUGGAUUGUCUUUUCUUCCUUGUAUUAUCAUGGAGGAGAGUCUCAUUUCCUUUUGGCAGUGCAGAUCCAUGACUUAAUGGACGGUUAAUUGAGUUUGAACUUCUCAGGACAUGAGACUCAAUUUCACUCAGGAAUUCAUCAUCUUUUAUACAGGUUUUUCCUGCAAUAGGGGUGGCCCUUGCGGCACCAGAAAAAUCUUGAGUUUGCAUGCACUGCAAUUGCUUUUCUUGCUCUCUCAUUUUGUCUUCUAGCUCCUUAAUCUUUUGCUGAAGUCUCAAGGCUUCUGAGUUCUGUUCCUGCUCCAUCAAUUUUCUCUCUAGCACCUUAACCUUAUUUUGCAGUGUGAGGGAAUGAUACUCGGACUCUUGCACUUGCUCUUUCAGCCUGUUCUCAAGCUCCUUAACCUUCUGUUGAAAAACUGCAGAAUCUGACUGCUGUCGCUCUCUAAGCUUGUUCUCUAGUUCCUUGACCUUUUGUUGGAGAGCAUUGCAAAUCUCUUCACUCCCCUUCAAUUUAUCUGAAAGUUGUGAGACUUGCUUCUCGGACUGACUAUGCAAGUUGGACUUCAGUUCAAGUUGGCCUUCAAGUUCUUUGAUCUUCUCUUGCUGGCUUUUGUAAAUAUGAUCUUUUCCCCUUGCCUUGCUCUCCAGGUUUUGUAAGUUCUCUUCCAGCUUCCUUAGGGAUUCAUCUUUAGAUUUGGAUUCCUGCCUUGCUCUAUCAAGCAUCAUUUUCAUUUUCUGAAGUUCACUUGUAUCAAUUUGUUUCUUUGAAGGGCCUAACUCAAUGCCUCGAACUCUAGUUGCAAAAUUUAAUGAACUCAAAGUCUCACUCAAGUCCUGCUCUGAAGGACUAAUUUGCACAAACAUCAAAGUUUUGGAGUCACCACCUAAGGAAUCUUGAAGUAGAUGUGUUAACUUGGAGUUCCUGUAUGGAAUAUGACUACUUUUAGUUGCUAAAGCAUAUAUAACAUCUCCUAGAGCAGAAAGGGAUCUGUUAAUAUUUUGAGCUUCCUUUAGCCGUUCCCCUUGCACAUCCGUUUUUGCCAGCCUCUCACUGCCUGCCAGAUCCACAAGCCAAAGCUUGCUCUUCGUGCAUUCACCAUUCAUCAAGUUCUUUGCUUUUACCGUUACACAUAGCAUACUGAUUCAGAUGGGAAGCAAAAUGAGAAGGAAGUUUCCCAUGGUUAAGAAAAAUGAAGGAAAAUAAUAGAGCUUGAUACCAGUGAGACCGGCUACUGUGUUCAUUGACAUUAUUGGAUCCAACAGAUCGAGCAUUGCUUCCAGCCUGCAGUACAUUCCACACUUCCUUCAAGUUAUCAACUUUAGCUUCCACAAUCCCUGGAACAUGAUGGGACCCCUCAGAAGAUUGUUUUAUCUCCAAUCUGACAUGCACAAAAAAUAGAGUUCAGUGGACUUUUUGUUCUCAUGCAAUUAAGCCAAAAAUUGUAAUAGAGUAUGUUUUCAACUCUAAUAGAGUAUAUUUUAGAUUAAUUUAUUUUAAUCAUACAAAAAUUGUAACAAUCAUAAGAAACCUUAUACUAUUCAAUCUCUUUUCACUAUAAAUAAGUAUAUUUGAGUGACUCCAUAAUAAUUAAGAGAAAACCACUUUUCACAAACUCAUGAAAACUUCAGCAACAAGUUGUACAUGUGCAGCACUACAGUAAAUUACUUCUUUGAUGUUGGAGAUGUAGCCAACAAGUCCCUGAUUUGCUCAUUAUAGACUUCGAGGACACUAACAGAUAAACUGUACGUGAUAGUUUCGCUCCUUUCCUUGGCAAUUUUAAAUAAUUGCCCGAGAGUUCUAUAAUUGACUCCCCUGUUUUCCUCAGUGCCCUCCAUUGUAAAUGUCUUUCCAGUUCCUGUUUGACCAUAUGCAAAUAUACAA